UGACUGUAGGAAGCCAGAGAGACUGACAGAGAGGCAAGAGAUGGAGUCUCGCUCUGUCGUCCAGGCUGGAGUGCAGUGGCAUGAUCUUGGCUCACCGCAACCUCUGCCUCCCGGGUUCACGCCUUUCUUCUGCCUCAACCUCCCGAGUAGCUGGGACUGCAGGCACCCGCCACCACGGCUGGCUAAUUUUUUGUAUUUUUAGUAGAGACGGCGUUUCGCUGUGUUCGCCAGGAUGGUCUCAAUCUCCUGACCUCAUGAUCCGCCCGCCUCGGCCUCCCAAAGUGCUGGGAUUACAGGCGUGAGCCACCGCGCCCAGCUGAUGUGGUCCAAUUCUUAACCAAAGGAAUGGGUAGACCAGAAAUACGGUUUGCCACUGUCCUCUGGAGUGUGUUUUCUUUGACUUCGUGGAGUUGUUUCUUUAAGUAUGAACAAGUCAAAUAACCAGGUUAGAGGGAAAAAAAAUGGCACCCACCAUGGGAAUGUGGACGAGGUGAUGAAUUUAUUGAAAGUAGCAACAUUUACCUUACGGAAAAAAAUAAAUGCUUGGAAUAUUUCCUUCAUGUAAAUUUGGAUUGUGAUGAAAAAUUUACGUACGAAAUAGGGUGUAUUCUCUACUGCAUGAUGGCUG
rnacentral:lncRNA from 1 species